CCCUUAGAUGUUCUGGGCCGCACGCGCGCUACACUGAUGAAUGCAGCGAGCUCUACCCUUGACCGAAAGGCCCGGGUAAACUUGUGAAACUUCAUCGUGAUGGGGAUAGAUUAUUGCAAUUAUUAAUCUUCAACGAGGAAUUCCUAGUAAGCGCGAGUCAUCAGCUCGCGUUGAUUACGUCCCUGCCCUUUGUACACACCGCCCGUCGCUCCUACCGAUUGAAUGGUCCGGUGAAAUCUUCGGAUUGCUGACCAAGAUCCAGCAAUGGAGCUUGGUUGCGAGAAGUUGAUUAAACCUUAUUAUUUAGAGGAAGGAGAAGUCGUAACA
rnacentral:rRNA from 1 species